CAGGAAUAGGAGGAGGAAGUAACCAUGGCUUGCUGCAUGCCAAACGGGGUGUCACUACUAGAAGUUUUCAUUUCAGAAGGGCUGUACCAGAAGAAAUGAGCCAAAACUUGGGAAUCAGGAGGAUAGUGUAGAAAUCUGGGAGUAAAAUUCAAGGAUCUAUCCUGAAAGAGUUAAGCAGAGACAGGAAAAAAGUGGCAAUCAGGGAAACGACGUAUAGUAUGUGCAAUGGAGAAAAUCCUCUAUCUUGUAUACUGCCCCAGUGCACUUCUAGACAGAGGGUGGGACUGUAAAGGAGCUGUCCUUUCAUUUGGCUAUCCUGCAAGGCUCUUCUAUGUCAGUCCUUCUUCAGAAGCUGGAGAGGAUCUAUAGGCUGUCACCCCAUGGGACAUUGCAGAAGACCUCAGGAGUCCAGAUGAUUUCAUGACAAACAAGCAGAUUGCUGAUUAUAAGUUUGCUUCCUGUGUACACAGAAAGGAUGCCCUAGCCAUUUCAAUUCUAUUCCAAUUUCAGGAAAAAGGAAAAAGAAGAAAAGAAUUUCUUUGAGAGCACGCAUCAGGGAAACUAACAAUGCAUUUCAGAAUUGAGAUGUAUCUCGACUUUGCUCAUAAAUCAGGGGAGAUAGAAGGCACUGGAUCUCUCUGAUGAAGGCUAUUUUUCUAUCAUUACGUGGCCUGUUCUGUUUUGUUAUUUACCUAUGAUGUAUCUUUGAUGUGCAACUAGUUUUAGCUUCUGUGUAUAUUUUUAAGAAUUAUACAAACAUAAACAAUUCCUAAAGUUUUGAACAAUAUUCUGUAUAACAAACUGAAAUUAAAAUAUAUUUGGGGUCAAUUGUAUUGGGGAUUAAUGAGGAAAUUUUAUUGCUAAGGAAUGCUUUCAAGCAAAAGAGGACACAAAUAUUUCUUUAGUCCGUAAUCCCAUGUUCAUUGCCUUUUUUUCUCAAUCUCUUCUUCUCAAUGAUUUCUUCCUUCCUUCCUCCCUCACUCCCUCCCUCCCUUUUUUCCUUCCUUCCUUUCUUCCUUCCUUCCUUCCUUUCGAGGAAGAUUAGCCCUGAGCUAACUGCUGCCAAUCCUCCUCUUUUUGCUGAGGAAGACUGGCCCUGAGCUACCAUUCGUGCCCAUCUUCCUCUACUUUAUAUGUGAGAUGCCUUACCACAGUAUGGUUUGCCAAGCGGUGCCAUGUCCACAUUCCGGAUACAAACCGGUGAACCCUGGGCCCCAAGGCCAAACAUGCGCACUUAACUGUUGCACCGCUGGGCCGGCCCCUCAAUGAUUUCUUGAUGACUCCCAAAUUUUCCAUCUUUUAAAAAUCCACUCUGUCAUUUUGCCCUUUAUUAUUCCUCUCCUUUACUGUAUUAGUUUCCUUCCCAUCAUCUUUCUUUCUCUUGAUAUUGAGCUUGCAUUUGAGCUAGACAUACUCAUAUCACUUCUAAAUUUUUGAGGAGAGAAUCUAGAUUUUGUAGGACAUAAAGCUUAUAACAUUUGAGGUGAGGGGACUCUUUAAGAAAAGUUACAUAAAUUUACCAUAACUAGACAGAGGUUUGGAAGGACCUGUGCAAGUGAAGGGCCCUGAAGUUUGAGCUUUAUGGUCAAUCCUCCCAUUAUUGUUAAUCCAUCUCAGACCUGCUCUUCCUUUCCAUUGAUUUCUCAUUAUUUCUUUACUGGAGGACAAAAUACAACGUGGCUUUCACUUUUGUUAUUCAGUGCCCUAUUUUCACCAGCUGUGAAGCAGCCAGUUGUGUAAAGCAGCAGCAGCUGUGGACUUGGGAGCAACUCUCAGAGAUAAAAUUCUUAUCAAUGUACACCUCUCUCUGAACAAGAUUGGAGCUAGAUGAGAUUCUGAGCGAGGCAGGCAAUUGUUUAGCAAUGCAAUUUUCACUUUGAAAGAGAAGGGGCGGAAGAUAGAAAGGCAUGGAUAGAGAGAGUUGGUGUACAGGAAACCAGUUUUGCAUUUUUUAUGGUGAAAAAUAAUAUAUGAAUGCAAAAGGAAUUUUGGAAGCAACUGUCAAGAGUGAGUUAAGAGAUAUAUCAACUUGUUUGCUUAUAAUUAGUUAAUCUUUAACACUCCUAUUCCUACUGCUAGAGAAGCAGUAUGAAGUGAUAGAAAAACUGCAGCUUUGAAAUUAAACCAACCUCAAUGAAAACCUUGAGUCUGACACUUAUUAGCCAUAAGAUUCUAACAACUCUGAGGCACUGUUGCAUCAGAUAUAAACUGGAGGGGGGAAUGACCAGGUUGCUGUAGGUAUUCAUUACCAUAUUUGUAUAUGUACAUAAAUAAUGCUAGAUAAAUCAUA
rnacentral:lncRNA from 1 species